rnacentral:rRNA from 1 species
GAAAGAUGGUUUCGGCUAUCGCUUACAGAUGGGCCCGCGGUGCAUUAGCUAGUUGGUAGGGUAAUGGCCUACCAAGGCAACGAUGCAUAGCCGACCUGAGAGGGUGAUCGGCCACACUGGGACUGAGACACGGCCCAGACUCCUACGGGAGGCAGCAGUAGGGAAUCUUCCGCAAUGGACGAAAGUCUGACGGAGCAACGCCGCGUGUAUGAAGAAGGUUUUCGGAUCGUAAAGUACUGUUGUUAGAGAAGAACAAGGAUAAGAGUAACUGCUUGUCCCUUGACGGUAUCUAACCAGAAAGCCACGGCUAACUACGUGCCAGCAGCCGCGGUAAUACGUAGGUGGCAAGCGUUGUCCGGAUUUAUUGGGCGUAAAGCGCGCGCAGGCGGUCUUUUAAGUCUG